CUCCUCUCUCUCCCUUUCUCAUUCCGUUUCUUUCUCUUUCUGUUUCUCCCUCUCUCUUUCCUUUUCUCUCCCCCUCCCUCCCUCUUUAUCCCACUUCCCCUUUCUCUCUCUCUCUGCUUCUCUCAGUCUUUUCUUUCUCACUCUCUCCCUUUCUCCCUCUCCCUUUCUCCCCUCUCCCUUCCCCCUUCUCUCCCUCUUUCUCCUUCAUUCUUUCUCUUUUUCACUCUCUCAUUCUCUCCCUUUCUCCCUCCUGCUGUCUCUCUCUCUCUCCCCCUGUCUUCUCCCUCUAUCUUUAUCUGUAUCGAUCUCCCUCUUACUCCCUCUCUCCUUCGCUUCUUUUGCCAUUCCUUUCUCUUGCUCUUUUUCUCUUUGACUUUCUCUUUCCUUUUGCUGUCUUUUUCCCUCUCUCUCCCUCCCUCCGUUUUCUUUCUCUUUCACUCUUUCCCUUUUUGCCUUUCCUCUUUUUUCCCUUGCUCUUCCUCUUUUCCCUUUCUCUCCCGCUUGCUUUCUUGCUCUCUCUCACCAUCUUCCUGCCUCCAUUCCUCCCUCCCUCCAUUCCUCCCUCCCUGCCUCCUUCCGUUCCUCCCUCCCUCCCUUCCUAUCUUUUCCUUUCCUUCCCACUUUCUCUCUCCUUUCUCUCUUUCCCUCUCUCUCUCGUUCUCCCUCCCUCUCCCUUCCCCUCUCUUCCCCCCUCCUUCUCCUUUUUAUCAUGCUUUGCAUCUCUGUCUUGCUCUUUUUCGCUGCCUCUCUUCCUCCUUCUCUCCCCCUUUCUCCCUAUUUCUUCCCCAUUUCCUUCUCUCCUGUCUUUUCUCGCUCGCUCUCCAUCUUUCCUUCUCCUUCUCUCUCUUUCUCAUUCUUUGUUUCUCUUUUCUCCCUUCCUCUUUCUUUUUCUUUCUCUCCCUCUUUAUUCCCCUUUCCCUUUCUCUCUCUCUCGGUUCUGUUUCCCUUUGUUCUUUCUUUCCCUCUCUCUCCCUUUCUCCUUUCCCCCUCUGUCUCCUUCCCUGUCCUUCUCUCUUCUUCUCUUUCCCUCUCUUUGCCUCUUGCUCUUUCCUUUCUCUCUUUCUCUCUUUCAUUCUCGUAGACUCUUUCCCUCCUCUUCUUUCUUUCUCUCUCUCCCUUUCUCUUGCUUUCUCUCUUUCUCUCCCUCUCGCUCUGGCUUCCUCCCUCUCUCUCUCUUUCUCUCCCUUCCUCCUCCUCUCUUCUUUCUCAUGCUUUCCCUUUCUCUUUUUGUCUUCUUUCUCUCCCUGUCUUUCCUUCUCUCCUUUUCUCUAUCUCUGCCUCUCCUGUUCUUUCUUUCCCUUUCCCUCCUUAUUUUUCUCUUUUAUC
rnacentral:lncRNA from 1 species